UCUGUGGAUGAACCAAACGUGAUGUUACGGUGCCUAAAUUUACAACUCAUGCAGAUACCAUGAAAGGCGUUGGUUGCUUAAAACAGCAGGACGGUGGACAUGGAAGUCGUAAUCCGCUAAGGAGUGUGUAACAACUCACCUGCCGAAGCAACUAGCCCUUAAAAUGGAUGGCGCUUAAGUUGUAUACCUAUACAUUACCGCUGGCGUACA
rnacentral:rRNA from 1 species